rfam:Triticum aestivum genome assembly, contig: Triticum_aestivum_CS42_TGACv1_scaffold_485981_6AS
CAAGUACUCCCUCUGUCCGGAAAUACUUGUUAUCAAAAUGAAUAAAAAGGGAUGUAUCUAGAUGUAUUUUAGUUCUAGAGACACCCUUUUUUGUCCAUUUUGAUGACAAGUUUUUUUGGACGGAGGGAGUAUAAU